CACAUUUGAAUAUUAAGCAUAGGUUUCACUAUUUCUUCAUAAGAAAAAGACGAAAUUUCUGAAAACCUCUGUUCAUAAAAUUUAUAGGAAAGGGCUUUGUGAAUUGUAAAGCUCCACAUACAAGUGGUGGAUAAUACAACUAAUUUGUUAUUUCUCCCUAUUACUAUCUGAAUGGUUAUUUUACUUUGCAUUUAAUUUGUUGAAGAUAGAGAAGCUACCUAAGACUGAAGAAAUGUAAUGUGGGGGAAAAAUGGGUAAAGUGAGAGAGACCUGAGGGAAAACGAAAAUAGUAAAGUGAAAAUAAAAGUAAGAGGACAGAUAAUCCCAUCUAUUCUUAUUGUUUAAAGUGUUGUCUAUAUUGCUAAUUUAUCAAUGUUACUGUUGUCCUAACCUUUCUCAAAUUAAUUCUUGCCCUUCUUGUCUUCUUUGCUCCUUCCAUAUUUAGUGAGUUGGACUAUGGAUCAGGUACUGUGCUUAGCAUUGGAAAAUGGGAUGACAAUGAACAGAGUAACAUGAGUAGAUUUCUGAAAAAGGAUGAACAUACUGGAAACAGAUAUUGUGUGCCUGAAAUAGACCCAAAAGGAUAUAAAUGUCUGAACUUAGUCUGGGCUGGUGAUAUAGAUUUGGAAUGCACCAACAUGCAGAUGGUAAUCCUGGCAUGCGAGUAGAUGAGAUCAUCCAGGGAGAUGGCCUAUAAUGAGAGCCUGUAACAUGUCAGAUCUCCAGGCUCUCAAGAUCUCCAACCUGACCAGGGAUCAUCUCAUUCAUGGAUAAAAUGGACUUCACCCAGCUUGAACUUCACACAUGAUUUUGUGCUGGUGUAGUGCCCUCAGAUCCUGCUGACCUCUACUCCCACUGCCAGACCAUGACUUCAGCUCACUUCUGUCCUCUAUUAGAGCAGAGAAGACAGUCAUGGCAUAGAACAAGUUCUCCUAGGACAAAUAUACACAAAUCUCCUUGUGGCCAGCAGGAGACCUUUUCCCCCUGAUUUUACUGCAUCUCUAACCUUGAAAAAAACACAUCUGUUUGAUCAUUUUACUACUUCUAACUACCACCCUAUUUAUUAUCUUCUACUCGACUUAUUGCCAAAACUCCCCUAACCUCCAUUCUUGUCAUCCCUCUCUCUCAGUGCACACAUAUACAUUUUCCCAGCUCUUUCAUUUUCAUCAAUGGCACCAUCACUGUUCCAAUUUCUUGGACCAGAAGUCGUAUCUCCUUCCCUCAUGCUUAUAUAUAACUAGCUGCUUAUUAUUAAAUUCAAAAACUUUCUUUUUCUCCUUCAUCCUCUUCCUCUCUCUAGCCCAUAUGUGAUUUUUCAGUUUAUAUCUGACUUGCUGUAACAGCCUUCUAGUUGAGCUCUGUGGUUCUAAUUUCUACCCAUUCCCCUUGUAGCUUACAUUCAGACUUCUUUCCUAAAACCGUGUGCUUAUUACACACUGUAGUGGCUCCUUUUUCCCACCCAUAUCAAAUCUAUAAUGCACUGCUUAGUUUUAUAACCCUGCCUCAGAAAGUUUCCAUUUGUUCAUUCUCUUCUUUUUCAUUCCUAAUCAAUGUGAACCUUCUAACUCUAGUCAAGCUAGCCAUCACCACUGUUCCAAGAAAGUGCUUACCUCAUGGUGCUCCUGAAAUAUAUUUAUCCUUUCUCCUUCCUAAAUCCUACCCAUAUUUUAAGACCAAGUUUAAGUCUCAUUUCCGGCAUUAACAAUGGAGUUGUACUACAUCUGACUGGACCAGUCUUCUCUGCUGAACACUUACAGUCCUGCUCUACAUAACUCAGGACUAGAAACGUUCUUGUAGUGAUCACUAUUACUUCGUGAGACUAUGACAAUUCCUUAAUGGCAAGAAUCACAUUUUAUACUUCUAUCACUCUCUUUCCGCCUUGCAAAGGGCAAACGCCCUAAUAUAAUAAUUAUUCAUUAUCUAUCUGCCUAGAAUAUAACAUAAUUUCACUGCAUUAUUUUAUCAACACCAAACUUGAAUCUAAUUAAAUAAAUGCAUCUAUAACAGUUUUCUUAUAUUGAAUGCAGGCCUAAUGCAGGUAAUUUCUCUACAUAACCCAAAUGCUACAAUUGUGUUUUCUCUAGUGGUUGUCUGCACUUCAGCCAUUUUGUUCCUAUUACUGCCUAUUUUUAAAAUAAGAAUUCAGUAUCUAUCUGAGAUCAUUCUUUUUCUUUU